UCGGGAAUUUUGGGCAAUGGGCGAAAGCCUGACCCAGCAACGCCGCGUGAGGGAUGAAGUAUUUCGGUAUGUAAACCUCGAAAGAAUGGGAAGAAUAAAUGACGGUACCAUUUAUAAGCUCCGGCUAACUACGUGCCAGCAGCCGCGGUAAUACGUAGGGAGCAAGCGUUGUUCGGAUUUACUGGGCGUAAAGGGCGCGUAGGCGGCGCGGUAAGUCACUUGUGAAAUCUCUGAGCUUAACUCAGAACGGCCAAGUGAUACUGCAGUGCUAGAGUGCAGAAAGGGCAAUCGGAAUUCUUGGUUUAGCGGUGAAAUGCGUAGAUAUCAAGAGGAACACCUGAGGCGAAGGCGGGUUGCUAGGCUGACACUGACGCUGAGGCGCGAAAGCCAGGGGAGCAAACG
rnacentral:rRNA from 1 species